AUUGAACGCUGGCGGCAGGCUUAACACAUGCAAGUCGAGCGGAGAGAGGUAGCUUGCUACUGAUCUUAGCGGCGGACGGGUGAGUAAUGCUUAGGAAUCUGCCUAUUAGUGGGGGACAACAUUUCGAAAGGAAUGCUAAUACCGCAUACGUCCUACGGGAGAAAGCAGGGGAUCUUCGGACCUUGCGCUAAUAGAUGAGCCUACGUCGGAUUAGCUAGUUGGUGGGGUAAAGGCCUACCAAGGCGACGAUCUGUAGCGGGUCUGAGAGGAUGAUCCGCCACACUGGGACUGAGACACGGCCCAGACUCCUACGGGAGGCAGCAGUGGGGAAUAUUGGACAAUGGGCGCAAGCCUGAUCCAGCCAUGCCGCGUGUGUGAAGAAGGCCUUAUGGUUGUAAAGCACUUUGAGCGAGGAGGAGGCUACUUUAGUUAAUACCUAGAGAUAGUGGACGUUACUCGCAGAAUUAGCACCGGCUAACUCUGUGCCAGCCGCCGCCGUAAUAC
rnacentral:rRNA from 1 species